CAUGGGGUCUCGUCACCUCAUCAGCAGGCUGCACAGGAGGAACCGCAUCGCUCCUCUGGAUCUGCCUCAGCUGGUCUACAAAAUGGAAAGAGACAGAAGAGUUCAGGCUGCUGACAUCACCUCCCCAGCCAACACAAACUACACCAGACAGAUGUUCAGAGGGGACCAGGACCUGCUGCUGAGAACAAACUUGCUAAAGCCAACAGCUUCAGGAAGGAGGUGGACAGGAAGUGCUGGUUCUUACCGACUCAUUUUGUCAAGGAUGUCGCCAUGACGAAGGCGCGGCUGUCAGACGCUUCAGAUCCUACUGAUGAAGUGAGCAGAGAGGUGGGGGUGGAGCAGCGGGGAAGGGGCUGAGGAGAUGAAACAUGGUUAAAUAAAGACUGUUGUUCUCCACAGUGCAGCAAGCCAAUUGAUCACAAAUCAAUGUAUUUCAAAUGGGCCGCCUCAGUGUCAGCAGAGAAUAUUUAUUGUGGUUUUUAAUUCUGCUUCAAAACUCAAUCUCUCUUCCACCUACAGAAACACCCACAAACACCCCACCCCCAAACAUCCCCAAACCGCCCCAUACUGCUUCAUACACGCCGUACAGCCCCAUACACUCCCAUAGAGCCCCAUACAGCCCUAUAAAGCCCCUUACACCCCCCCCAUAGAGCCCCAUACAGCCCUAUAAAGCCCCUUACACCCCCAUAGAGCCCCAUACAGCCCUAUAAAGCCCCUUACACCCCCAUAGAGCCCCAAACAGCCCUAUAAAGCCCCAUACUGCUCCAUACAGCCCUAACAGUUAUGGGAGCAGGCCUCGGUGCUCGUCUCCUCCACCUUGUUUUCCUUCAGACGUCACAAAGUUUAGUGAACGAUAUGUUUGUCUUUUUCCAAUUCAAUGAAGGGUGAACUCCGCUCAGUGCAAUAAGAAAUGGAUUACCCAUUCAUUAAGGAGGCUGCGUCACUCGUCAUUGAGUUGGACAAAUAACAAAUUAAUUCCUAGCCGCUUAAUUUCUCUCUGUUCUCCACUGAAUUCUUCGAUAACGUCGAAUUUCUGAUCACAGCCGCCUGAGCUCCCACGACUUUUCAUCAAUUCAUUAAAAAUGUGCCACAGUGGAGAUGCUGGAGACAACGUUCUCUUCGUAGUUUCUAAAGCUUUCAAACAGGAAGCAAACGGAAAUAUUACUGUUAGGAUGUUUUCACCUGUUGAAGGGACAAAAGGGUUGUUUCUUGCUUUCCUGGCAUUUGUCCUAAACAUCUGAUCAGUACAUUUUAACCAGUCAAGUGCAGGUCAGUUGGUGGUGGUGUUUUGUAAAGUAGCAGUAGU
rnacentral:lncRNA from 1 species